UCUUUUCAGACUUCAACUGCUUCGCAUGAUGUGGCCGGCAGCCAUCCUCAUGCGACAAGACUCUCUCCCAAAUAGAUCGAGUUGAUUAUGCUAGAGAGUUGAUAAAAUAUUGUAAGCUUUGAUUUCAUCUUGAAUACAUCUUUUCUAUUUUUUCUUCUUCUUUCUAGUUGGAGAUGGAGAUCGGCUGAACUUCUUUCUUGUCGGAGAUGAUCGGAUUUCAUGGAAGAAAUCAUGGUGAUUUCUUGAAUCGGUAGUUGCUGUAUUAUGUAAUCGAGCCCGAGCCCGUCAAAUUUCUGCCGAGCCCGAGCUUGUCAAAUCUCUGCCGAGCCCGAGCUUGGCUAGGCGAAGCUCGCCCGAUCCCGAGCCGAGCCUGAGCACACCACUCUGAAGUUGACGAGACGAGCCCGAGCAAGCCAAAGCUCUGUUCGGCUCGGUUCAUUUGCAGCACUUGGUCACUACCAACGAAACCUAGCUGGUCCUCACCACUCUCAUUUCAAGUCUAAACCUGACUUCUCUAUCAUUUUUCCGGCAUAAGUCAUCAAAAUCGUGGUGAUAUAGUGAAAAUGGAAAUCGACUAGCAAUAAGGUUUUCGGUGAGGAUACAAAGUUGAAAUUCCAAUUGAAGGCGGCACAUCACCAACUGGAUCAAUUGAUAUAAUUUGUAAAAAAGAACCAAAGUUGAAUGUUAAGCAAACCGGAGACGACCCAAAAGUACAUCCCAAGAAUGAAGAUAUAAUUCCAAGGGUUCAACAACACCAACUCCGUGAUGGAAGCCUACCAAUUUUGAUCUUUCAUUAGCUUAUCUUUCCCACCGAAGUUUUUUUUGCGACGUAUUUCUGUUCAAGUAGAAUUGGUAGAAUUUCGCAUCGUCUUCAACAUCUUCAUAAAAAAAGCAUCAACAUCAAAAUCUUCAUUCACCCCACCAUCCACAUCAACAUCUUCUUCAUCCAAAAAAGCAUCAACUUCAACAUCUUCAUUCAAAAACAAUCGACAUGAUAAUCACAUCAUUUCCCUUCAAAUUCACAAAUCGCAGUGCAUCCAUGUCACAUACCCCACUUAUCAUCCCAGCAUUCCUCAACCGUUGAGUCAAAGCAAUAACCUUGAGGCCUCUAUGGUUCAUAAACCGUGUCAUCUGUGACGGAAUAUUUUUUUUGCCACAUCUUUCUGUUUUCGAGUAGUCCGGAGACGGAUCAGUCAACAUUAUUUUUUGUUGAUGGCUACAAUCAUGGAACAAUAGCCAUUGAUAUGGUGAAACAACCCGCUGUCUCUUGAACUUCUCCUUCAAUCUAUGGAACUGGAAGAUUAAUGAAUUGAACCCCAUUGUAAAGCAUACCCUAACACCGGAAACCUCAAUAGCUACUAGUCCAUUUGUAGCCAUCAACAAAAAUAUCUAUUGAGAUUUCCAGUGUUAGAUUACUCCUUUACAAUGGAGUUGAAUUCAUUAAUUUUCCAGAACUUCCAGAUUGAAGGAGAAGUUCUAGAGACAGCGGGCUGUUUCACCAUAUCAAUGCCCUACUAGUCCAUGAUUGUAGCCAUCAACAAAAAACCGAGCUUAUGUUCAUUCGUUUUUGGAUAGACCAUUUAGAUUUUGAGAUAAGUAUGGCUACAGCGGUUGAGGAAUGCUGGGAUGAUAAGUGGUGUAUGUGACAUGGAUGCACUGCGGUUUGUGAUUUUGGAGGGAAAUGAUGUGAUUAUCAUGUCUACAACAUUACGUUUUUGAAUGAAGAUUUUGAUGUUGAUGCUUUUUUGGAUGAAGAAGAUGUUUAUGUGGAUGGUGGGGUGAAUGAAGAUUUUGAUGUUGAUGCUUUUUUUUUUUUGAUGAAGACGAUGCGAAAUUCUUUGUUGAGUUUGGUGCAACUUCGUAUUUCCGGCCAGAGGAUGAGGUAUAAACACCAUUUUUUUACUGACACACAUAUAUUCAUCGCAUCAUAGCAUCCCUUACUUGUUUGCAUAUACAUGUUUACCAUAAACAUUAUAUAGAUUACAUGAUAGACUACUACUUUAUUGUCAAAUAGGAAAAUGUUGCAUAGGAAGGAAUUAUUUACUCGAUUGUACAUUAGUAUUUUUGGUUAUAAACAAAAACAAAAAAGGGAAAAAAAGAAGAGAACAAAUCUUCCAAUAUUGUCAAAACAUAAAUUAUCAUGUAUAACCUGAGUAAUCUCCGAACAAUGAAUGUUUCAUCUAAUGAACAAAGUGAUUCAAUUUUAUUAUUAUUACUUUUUACUUUUUUUUCAUACUCCUCAUUUGAUUUUCAUUAAAUUGUAGAAGGAUUAAUGUACCUACUAAUCUUGAUGCAACAAAGUUUUGGAACUGCAUACUUACUAGCUUAGGGUAUACGGUUAAUGCUCAAAAUGAUGAGCUUCUUUUUAUUCACUUCAUUUUCACUAAAGCAAAGUAUCUAAUAUUUUGCUCAUAUAAUAAUACCUUUGUACAUUAGUAAUUUUUGUUAUAAAAAAAAAAAAAAAAAAGGAAACAAAGAAAAGAACAAAUCAAAGUGUCUAAUAUUUUUCUCGCAUAAAUAUUUAUUUUUAAUUUUUUGUACUAAAAGUCUCUCUAUGCAUAAAGUACUGUAGAAUCAAAAUUUUGUUCAAUUUGGGCUUUUGGUUGAAAUGGAUCAAAUUAAUCAUGCAGGAUAGGCAAUCCACCUGUUCUAAUUUAAGCUUAAUCAAACUAAAUCAUGCAACUCUUGCUGGCUGGUCGAUCCUUGUUCCAGUUGACCCAUCUAGUUGAUCCAAGCUUUUUUAAACUUACUUUUUCUUUUAUUAUUUUAAUUUUUUUCCUUUCUUGUGAACUCUGGUAGUUUUAAAAGCUUUUACGUAUUAAUAUUUGGUGUUGAGUUUUCUGAAAAGAGAUAUUUUAAAAUCUUUUAUUUCCACUUAAUUUUUUUUUAAGAAGGGGAUUCUUUCAAAUAAAUGGAUGGGCCUCUGAGGCGAGUUGUAGAGUUACUGUGUCGACUUUAAAUCUAUUUGCCUUCUCAUGUUUUCUUAUAUUUAUGCCUCUUUUUUGUUUGGCAUGGGCUUUAGUAGAUGGUGCAUAGGCGUCCUGAUUUUUGGGACACGAUUAAAUAAAAUAAAAGAAAGAAAACAUUAUAAAAUAAAUUAAAACCGCAUAACGUUGAAAAGAAACUAUAUUCAUAUUUCUUACUUAACCCUUUAAAUGACACAAUAUUGAAAUUGAAUAUUGUUGUCUUAAAACUCUUAAAAAACACACCUCAAGUGAGUUAGGAACAACUUCAUUACAUCCGACUUUGGCCGGACCUGUAAAUUGUUGGCUUCAGUACAUCCGACAAGCAACUCAAGAGGAGUGUCUCGUAAUAAUUUCCAUAUUACCUUAUUUAACUCACAAUAACACCUAAAUAAACCACGCAUUAAAGCACACUUAUCAUUGCUAGCCAUUCCUUCUCCACAUUGGUACUUACACUCAAUCAUAUAUAUGCAUCCAUAUAUAUAUAUAUAUGCAUCUAUAUACACAUUUAUAUUAAUAAUAACUAUAUAUUUUUACUUGUAAUAUUUCAAAAAAAAAUACAGGUUCUCACAAUAGAUCUAAUUUUAUUUGAUCAGGUCACUAUAUGGAAUGGAAUGUAGUCUUAAUGGUCAAAAACUCCUAGUAGUAGGACUACAGCAGGCUAUGAAUAUUUGCGUGAUAACUUUAGUUGAAUUAAGAUUGUGAGAAUCCGUUAUUUUCUAUUUUCAACUUUAUCUUAAAGGUUGAGUUUAAAGAAAUUAGUCCUAGAUUCUCUAGAAAAUGUCUAAUAUUUAUAGCAACUAUACAACUUAUGGUUAAUUCAGUCUGAGGCUGCACUAUCCAGAGUGUAAUACCUUUGCACUCAACCCUUACGUUCUACGUCAACAUUGUUUCAUGUUUUGCACUGGUUUGUAGCCAGCAAAUAGUCUCUCUCUAUAUAUAUAGACUGUUUUACACUUUUUAUUUUAAAGUUUCUGUCAGUUCAGAAUUUCAGUAAAAUUUUAAUUAUUUGGGAUGUAGAGAUUGGAAUGCCCUCCUAUUGGUAGGACAGUAGCCAGCUGCCGCAUCAAUCCAGGUUUGUGUCACCGAGAUAGAUUUAUUUAAUUUCUAUUCGACAGUGGGGGAGAAGUUAUCUUUAUGUAAUUCAUAUAGUUUUUGUGGACCUAUUUUCCAAGAUAUCUACCAUUGGUUGAUAGAUUUUAUAUCAAUCUUGGACACUAAAUCUCUCUCUAUAUAUAUAGAUUGUCAGUUAAGAAAGGAGAGUAACUUGUGAUGGUUGGGGGUAUGAAGAAGUAGUAGUGGCUGGCCUCUUUGAAUUGAUAACUUUAUGAUUAUGAAGAUCACUCACUCUAUGCAUCCACUCUCUUGAGCAAUGUAGAACCUUUUUGGAUUUUUGGAAAAUAUUUUUGAAAAGAAAAAAAACUGGAAAAAAUAUAUAUAUUAGACUGUCCGAGUUAGGGAGCAGGUACUGGUACUGGCAGAGGGUCACAACACAGGCAGUCACAGUCGGCUACAGUUCAGUUAGGGUUCAGAAUAAGUUUACUUUUGCAUCUACUUCAACAUUACUCUCCUCUCCUCAUGUUUUUUUCAUUAUUUUAUUCUCUUUUUAUGUGCUGUGGGGAAGGUAUAAGAUUUGUGAGGAGCCAUGACAAAUAUUGUAACAGUACUCAAGAAGAAAUGAGGAGGAUCCUGAAGAUUGAUUUCGAUGUUUGAUGGAUGCUUUGCUUAACUGAAUGUUAUGUCCCGUAUUCUAA